AGAACAACUCUCAGCAACGGAUAUCUUGGCUCUUGCAACGAUGAAGAACGCAGCGAAAUGCGAUACGUAGUGUGAAUUGCAGAAUUCCGCGAAUCAUCGAGUUUUUGAACGCAAGUUGCGCCCGAGGCUUGUCCGAGGGCAUUUCCGCUAGAGCGUCACC
rnacentral:rRNA from 5 species